CUGCAGACUUGGCUUGGAUGUAACCGGUGUUUCCACUAAUGUGCGCUUUGGUUCCAGCAUAGAAUCCGGGCACCAUGUUGCAUUACGUCCUGCUGCUUUUUAACGGACUUGAAGCCUUUUCCUUGGAGGAUGAGUUGAACACGCUUCUGCUAGAAAAACUCCCAGAGCUGGCGUUUACCGGGUGCUUACGAUUUGCCUCCCUCACAACACUGUCCUCAUUUUACAGACAGGGAAGUGAGACCCAGAGAAGUCGAGGUUUGAUCAAGGUCACUCGGAGGCCCAGGCAGCCUGGCUCCUGCUCGGCCACCUGUCCCCGAGGGUGCACCUCCCUGGCCACAGCAGAGCGAGUCCUCCCUCCAGGGACCCAGCCCGAGGUCAGACACAAGGUGCGAGCCAGGGCUUCGGGCAGUGUGCCCCUGCAGCCCCUUCGAGGCCCUUAUGAAGGCAUGAGGGGGUCUCUCCCCGCUGCUCUGAGGGCUCUCUCUCCACGUGAAUCGUCACAGAUGGCGCCCUCUCCCUCUCAUUCUGCCAGGACCCCCCUGCUCCCAGGGGCAGGACAGUGAUGCCCUUCCAGCCGGGGCCCUGGGCACAGCCUGGGACCUCCCUGAUCACUGCCACUGCCCGGAGGAGAGCAGGCGGCCAGGGCUCAGCUCGCUCUCACAGCCUCUACUCCAGCACCACCGCCACCCUGUCGGUGGGCUUCCCGUGACAGCCCCGUCACAGGCACCUCCUUGUGCUGGACGUCCCCUCACAGCCGUGUGGCCGGGACUCCAUGUAUCACUUUAUUCCACGAGGAAGUGGGGGCUGGAGCUACCUCACUGGGAAAUGGCAGAGAGUGGACCCGAACCUCCGCUGGGGUGGCCCCACAGUCCUCAGGCUUCACCAAAUGCUUUCACGAUGACGCUUCUGGAAACAGGGCCAUCGCCGACACCAACCUUGGGCUGUGCGGGCCACAGCAGCAGCUCCCGGUGCUGGAGGACAGGGCUGGGGACGAAGUCCUCCCUAAGGCAGCCCCCUGGAGGUG
rnacentral:lncRNA from 1 species